CCUGCAGGUUGACAAUGAUGAAUUUCGAUGGUCCUUAUGGUAUGCUUACCUUUCCCAGGGCUCUCCAGCAGUCCAGCUGACAAGGGUGAUGGUCAUUUAUUUUUUUAGGCUUUCACAGUACAACAGUACAGUGUAUGAUGAUGUGGGGGCAUCCGGCGGUAGCUUCCAGACUUUGCUUAUGCAUCGUUAUCGAUUUGUCCGUCCAUUAGCAUUAUAUAACAAACUCUGUUAGGCCCUAAUGUAGCAGUUCUGUUAUCUGUAUUAAGAUGAUGGGUUAUCUUGGUUGUUGAGCAAUCAGCAUCUCCGAAUGUCGGUUGAUUCUACAGGCUAGUGUUCGCCCAACCUUCCAUUUAUGCUGCAUUGGCCAUGGUGACCAAGGUUGGAAGACAGCUAUCAGGUCAAGAAGGACGGGACCCAUCUGAGCCCAUCUACAGUGAGCAAAUCGCCUUGGCUUUCUCAACCAUCAUGGGUGCUCAUCUUCACUCGAGGCAGGAGGCUUAGUGCACUGGAAUCUAUUGGUGGUGGUGGACCUGAUCCUGGAGAACUUUCGGUGUUCUGCCGCAUCACCCUGAGUGCUCGACGAAAAGGACUGCUGCCGAAUGAGCAUCCUAACUCUAACUGCUCAUGGUGUGAUGCUUUAUGCCCAUUUCUGACUUAUAAGACGCAUUGAGAAAGAUUGCCUUCUUUUCGAUUAUCUGCCAAAUCUGUCACACACACAUGGUGCUGGUGUACUCAGAUAGAUGUUCUGUAUUCCUUUUUCCAGCUCCAUGUUUCAGUAAUUCAGUGCCACGGGCUCAGUUUUUGGCAGCACGGCUGUCAAACCCCCUAAUAUAAAUAGUGCACUUGAUCCAGUGGUCAAUGGUUGGUUCCAA